UUACGGAUUGAAAUUCGGUACAAGAUAGAUUUAUUGUCUCCUCACUCAGUCGCUUUGUGUGUGGUUUUUCCGGGACGAAAUAGCUGGAAGUGGAUGUUUUCAAGUUUUUCUGUAUGUGCUGGAUUAGAGCUUUCUGCCCGGGACGUCAUUGUCAUGUUUUUCAUCAUCAAUCCGGAAAUUCGGCAACCUGAGUGAAAAUUUCGUACGUUAGUCGAGGAAAAACGCCGGCGUUGCGCGUGCCCUAAUCAAUUUGUGUGUUGGCGUUAAGUGUCCAUUUCAAUCAUCGUGGCCCGGGUUCGCGAUUAGCAAUUAACACCUUUCCUGAUUCGAUAGCCGAUCUCGGGGUGUGGGAAUGCGGAAAAUCUGAAAAUUGCCAGAUGUUUUUCCUCAGAUAAAAUAUUGUCUAGAGAGUUGCGUUUUCCUUUCCGUGGUGUUGCGAAAGUGAUCAGUUGUUGAAUAAGGUCGCGGUGUAAAUUCGGGAUCAAAUGGUCUUUUGUCAUAAUCGUCUGGGGGUAAUUGGAUCGGAUCGUGCGUGAAUCGUGAUCGAUGUCAAUGCCAAAUCACGAAUCAGUCAAAAUAAUCCCCAGAAAUUUGUUUGAAAUAAUUAAAGAUUUGGUGCUGGUCCAAUUCGUUGAAAUGUUUGUAUUGUUAUUCAAGAAGUGAAUUUGUGUGUUUAUAUGAAAAUAGAGCGGUUGAUAGUUUUCUAAACAAUCAAGUUUGUUUAUGUUACACAAGUGUGGUAUUUGGAUAAAUCCGCAGAUGAUCUAGGAAGCAGUAACGAUAAUGUCAGGAUAUCGCAAUUAUGCGCCGUGGAAAUCAACUUUACCGUACAAAUCUGGAUCCAGUAGCACUUACUCUUCUCGCGAUGAUGUUAACGCCUCGGAUUCAAAAUCACGAUUUGGCCUCUUGGGAUCGCCUGCAGCGUUCAGACCUUCAUAUUCAGGUGGAACUUAUAGGAGUAUAAAGCGGGAUGCACCUUUGGUAGUACCUCUACCGAAAAAUUACGGCAGUAAUUAUGGCAGCGCCUCAAAAGAUGAGAAAGUGGGGCCGAAAACUACCCCAUCUUCUCUCCAGACUCCAGCCAAAAGCUCUCUUCAGCCAACUCAACAAAAAUAUACUGGGAAUGCUUCUAGUAAAAAUCUUGAUCCGAGUGUUUCAAAAUAUUCAACCUCAACAGGAAAUCUUUCCAAAUAUGGAAGGAAAUCACGAGAUCCUAGCCCGACAUUAGAUAGGAGACCAACUUUAACUGUGACGAGAGCCAAGAGUCGUGAUCCAAGUCCUAUAGGAGAUAGGAGACAUAAUUCUGGAGCAUAUUCAACUUCAACCAGUAACUUGACAAAAUUUGGCCAUAGGUCCAGGGACCCAAGUCCAGCGACUAGUGAACUUCGGUUAAAUACUGGACUUCAGGGGAGGAGCCUGAGGUCGAUGUCGAGAGAUCCUAGUCCAGUGAAUGUUCAAUACAAAACUAGCUUAGGAACUUCUCAAAAUAAUUAUGGUUCGAACUAUCGCCUCGGUCAAAGGGGCACGAAAAACUAUGGGUCCAAGUAUGCGAGCAAUACCUCUUCGUCGAGUUCAAGCAAUGCAGUGCCCGAUAAAGCUUUGUCCUAUAUGUCGAUUAGUGAUUUUCGUGCAAGGUCCGUUAGUAGGACCCAUGAUUGCACUAAAAAGUUAGAGAAACUUUCUUUAAACGAUGAGAAAAGUGAUCGGGAUGUUUCUUUAGAAACUUCCGAUUCCGGAGCUAAAGUACAAGAUGAUAAGCAGGAUUCUGAAGAAGACGAGGAGGAAUACCUUGAACCGGAGGUGUUUGUCUCUGUGACAGUAGUAACCAGAGGGACGUCGCCUAACCCUCCAGGUUCAUCAAUAGUACGAACUCGUCGAUUGGAACUUGCAAAAACAAUUGAAAAGACAAUUCAACGGUCUACUAGGAAGCCAAAGUGUUUUGAUAAAGAAAUACAGUCCGAUCGAUUGGACGAUACAACUAGGUAUUCCAGAUUUAGUUCAGCUAGCAGACUUUCAACAACACCGUGGUCAUCACCUUAUUCAAGUGAGUCCAAGUUCUCACGAAGUGAUAGUUCAAAGUAUACGACAAAUGUUAGUAGUGGCAGCUGUAGUUCGUCUAAGCUUGUUAAAAGUGACUCCGAUUCUGAUAAGAAAAAGAAAGACGAGUCAAGCAUUUCUAGAAAUAAUAGCAGCUCCAGCAGGAGUAGUAUGAAACAAGACAAAUCGAAAAGUUCACCGGAAUCGAAAUUAAGCAAAGCAUCAUCCAAACAUUCGAGUUCCUCAGCGAAACAUCGGUCAUCGGAUAAUUUAGUAACUGCAUCGUCACGUUCGUUGCCGCCAGCUAUUCCCAAGGCUGAUUCUCCUACAAAAAGUGCGAGCACUUCAUCAGGAAGUUCUCGCUGGCCAAAUAAAGAUUUCCGAAAAUCUGCCCUAAAUGUAGGACCAACCGAUCGACCUAGAAAGUCAAGGACACCCAGUACAGGAACAGAUACUGAUGAAAAAUGUGAGCAACAGAAAUCUUCGCCUGCAUUUUCGCGAACGGAAAGAUCACCGAGCGUCGGAUCGGAAGCUUCUUCAUCAACAAGUAGCAGUGGAAACUCAUCGGCCGACGAUACAAAGCAUGAUCACCAGGGUCAAGUGGCGACUACGUCAUUGGAUAAUGAUUUCGAUCAGACUCGGGAAAAUGCUUGUUUCACUCCUGAACAGGUGCCAAAAGACAGCAACUACGUGGAGAGCUAUAAUAAGAGCUUUGAUUCGCGAGGGGAUCGCGAGCCGGCGGACCACCCAAGCGAAGAAAAUGAUGUGCAAAACUUUCAUCAAAUUCGAUCGCCAAAUAUUUGUCCGGCCACCGGAGCUGAUUCAUCGGAACAACUUGUUGCUAGAACGGAGGAUGCUAAGUCAAUUUUGAUACGAAAGUUGGGAUCUAUUUCGAACUUCUUUACAACCCGAAAUCUCGACGAUUCUAGCGGCGAAGGAAUCUAUUUGGAUAGCUCAAGUGGUGGCAGUGGCGUGGAUGCUAGUAUUUCGGGUGUUCUUAAAGAAGACGCACCAACGACAACUGCAUCGGUGUCGCAAUUGCAAGUGCAAACCCAGUCGCAAGUACUGAAUCCAACAGUCGCGGUUACGAGUAAUACGAAUAGUGAUUUAGACGAAUCGAGUUGGUGGCAAAACACCAGUCAACAAAUCGACACGGAAUCCGCACUAGAUCUUCGAGACGAUAUGAAAUAUAAAUUACGUCACAUCGAUUCAGGAGAGGUCGCGUGGUGGAUGCGAAACGAUAACGACCGCGGUCUGGGUGAUAACGAAGACGACACCAUCGCAGAUGAUCUGAAAACUUUGAAUCAACAAAACGACUUCGAUACUGAUCCUGAUAGGAGCGAUCGAACCGAUCGCUUUUACACGAACGAAACGAAACGAUCAGUAAGUAGAGAUAGAACCCCUUGGUGGCCUACGAGUACGUCUGAAAGUUCCUUGAAAGAAAAGUCUCCUCGGAUCAGACGCAUUGAGUCUGGCGAGCGGGCCUGGUGGCUGAAUGACUCCAAUGAGGGAAAUCCGAAUUCAGUGGAGACCAGCCAGUAUGACGAUAGUUGUUACAAUAACGCGAAUCAAUACCAGAAUCAGAAACUCGGUACCUUGAAUGAGAGCCCGGUGAAUCAGUCUUACACGAAUGGCUCGUCGAAUGAAGCUACUUCGCCCGGAGGAAGCUAUUACAGUGGCAGGACUCCAUAUCCGCACCAAAAACUCAGCACUGUGAAUGAAAAUGUGGUGAGUCAGUUUGAAAGGAGUAGCCCUCAUGUUGAGAAGUCCGGUUCGCAGUACAAGAUACCGUGGUGGAUGGCGGAUACUUCGCAAGAAAGCGAUAAGAAAGGUUCCAUGUUUAAAAUCCGUCACAACGAAUCAGGAGAAAGGGCUUGGUGGCUUUCGGAUGCUAAUGAUUCGCAGUCUCGCAAUGCAUCGUCUUCUUCGCAACCAGAGACAUACCAGCCUCCUAAAAUGAACACAAUUCGCAGGGUCGAGUCUGGAGAAGUGGCUUGGUGGCUCCAGGAUGACACCACGGAGCCCCAACAGAAGCCUGCAGCCCCUGAAGAUGACGAGGUCAAGCGCGCCACUGCCAACUACUACAAAUACAACCCCUCCUCAGACCCCCUUUACGAUAGUUCCUAUGGCCAAAUUCCUCCCCUGGGCGAUCGCCGUAGUCCCGAAGGCCUUGAAGAUACUUCGCAAGCUCGCAAAUCGCCCCAUCAUAAUAACAAAAACAUGAACGGUAACAAUUACAUAAAUACGAGCAAUGGAAACAACAAUUGCGAUAGCGAAAUACCAACGGUUACAGUGAAAAUUCGGUCGGGAAAAGCUGCGUCCGCGUCGGAAAAACUAUUUAUAUCGCGCCAUACAAAUAUUGACGAGCUUUUGGGUGGCUCAUGCCGGCCAUUGAGUCCGCUCUUGAAUCGCUUCAAUGCCGGGAACACUGGCGGAAAAACAGAUUUGGGAUUUUUCUACGAGGAAAUUUCCCCGCAACAGGUGCGCAUCCACGAUAGUACAGCUCAGAUGCCGGUGAUUCAACGAAUGGAACGCGAUGAGUGGGAUUACGCGUCGGGAAAUCAACAGCAGAAGUACAAGUUGGAUGAUGCAGCCAUACAAGUAUACAAAGAUGGUGAUUAUGGAGCUUAUCUUGAUCUUGAAUCCUCUCUGGCUGAACAAGCGGAAGAAAUUGAGGGACUGGAUUCCAGCCGUAAAAACUCUUUGGUUGUUCGUACCCAACUCAGCGUUAGAGUGCAUGCUAUUAUCGAAAAACUACUCUCGUCGGAAGGUAGUGAGUUGCGUCGUGCCUUAUUCUCGCUCAAACAAAUCUUCCAAGAGGACAAAGAUUUAGUGCACGGUUUUGUGGCGCUCGGGGGGUUAAAUUGUUUAGUUCGCGUGGGAAAUGUUGCAGACCAGAACUACCAGAACUACAUUUUGCGCGCCUUGGGACAGGUGAUGCUGUACGUCGAUGGAAUGAAUGGCGUCAUGAAGCAUAGUCCCACUAUCCAAUGGUUGUACUCACUGAUUGCAUCAAAGUAUCGUCUUGUCGUGAAGACAGCGCUCAAGUUAUUGCUCGUGUUCGUCGAGUAUGUAGAGACGAACUGCACGCUGCUGGUGCAGGCAGUGCAUAAGGUUGAUAAGACCCAAGGCACUUUGCCGUGGUCUAACAUCAUGAAACUUCUCAAAGAUUACGAGAAUGCCGAUACGGAAUUGUUAAUUUAUGCAACGUCGUUAAUUAAUAAAACCCUAUCGGGAUUAAGUGAUCAGGAUAGCUUCUAUGAUGAGAGUGAUUUUCUUGAACAACAAGGAAUGGAAGGAGUAGUUCAACGUUACAUGUCACGCCCUGGCACUGAUUUAGAUCUUCUGGAUCAAUUACAACUAUACGAGGCUGUGCUGAAAUUCGAGGAUGGCGAAACAGAUGGAAUUCAGAUUCCAGAUAAAUCCAUUCGGAAGACUUUGCGGCUACGUAAUACAGACUCUACAGAAAGAAGGAAAUCUAGGCGACAUAGCACGGGAACAAGCCCGUCCAUGUCACAGAACGUGUCCUCACCGAAACGAUAUACACCUCCCGAUCAAGCGGUUUUGGACGAAGAUAGUUCCAGCUCCAACAAUUCAAAUGAGUUUAAUGGAGGAGUGUUUAGGGAAUGUAAAGGACAACGUGAUGGUGCCGGAGUAACUCCUGGUCUUCGUCGACGUCGUGAGCGUGCUGAACGCCAAAAAUCCUUUAUGCGUGAACAGCAAGAAGCAUUAGCUAAUGGAGGAAUGCGGCCUCAGCACGAUACCAAAAGUGAUCAAAACGGAUUGGGUCAAAUAGUAACAGCCGUUCCGGUUCAUCUUCGAAAUGGAAACGAUAGUCCCCCCGGAUCGUUGAAAUUGCGACCUGACAAAGCACAGCCAAACAAUAACAAUAACAGUGAAAAUUGCACAAGUCCAAGUCAUGUUAUGUACAGUCCUGGAAAGAAUGCAUUGAGUAACACAAGCAUAUCUGUGAUUUCCAAUAGUUUCGAAAAGAAACACUCAUCAGCUAAUGGAGUGAAUGGAGUGUUCGAAAGGACCCCAUUGAGCGCGUAUAGUGAUCAGAAUGGCUUAGCAGGUAAGCGUGUUCCUUCGGAUUUUGUGAACAGUAGGAAUCUGGCCAACAGGACUAGCAACGCGGCCCCCAUCAACGGGGUAAUGAAGCAUAGUGAAAGUAAGAGCAACAUCCUCUCAAGGAUAGAAUCAAUUGAAAACUCCACGAGCCAGAAUAACAAUGCCCCCAAUAAAAGCGGCUAUUUGUGCCACAAGAGGUUCGAGAAUGAUUCGAAUCGCCUGAACAACUACUACAAUCAAUUAUCCACUACGUCGCCGGUCAAGAACAACAACUUCGCAGCUUCCAUCCUGAACCAGAAGAACUCCAACCUGAAUGGGUCGCUUAAUUGCAAUGGCACCACUAACGCCAACACUAAUGGCGGCCACAUGAAUGGUUCGGCGAUAGUGAAUAAGAACAAUAGUAGUAGCCCGGCCUCGGCUCGGAUGAAUGGAAACUAUAAGGACAUAAAGUGCUCGAAUGGCGUGAGUCCUUGCCAUUCAGUGAACGCCGACUCGGCGGAGCUGUUGAUUAAUGCCCACAGUCAAGGGGGUGCCGCGUUUUCCAAUGGAAACAGUAAAAAGCUCAAUGGCAGCAACAUCAAUGUUAGCGUCGGUGAUGGCGAUUCGGAAUACGACGAGAAGAAGCAGUCGUUACAAAUACGACGAGAUCACACCGUCAAGGAUCUUACGCAAAAGCUAACAAAUUUGCCAACUAGUCCGCAAGAAGAUAAGCCACAAAAUCGGAUUGGUGAUAUGACUGGUCUCAUUUCUAAAGCCAAAGAAGGUCUUGCUAAAAGUAAAAGCAAAGGAGACAUAUCCAGAUCUCCUAGUACCGACCAGGAGAUCAAAAAAGUUGAACCCAAAAAAUCAGAGAAUGAACUACACUGGGAGGAGUUAGUACGAAAUAUUUCUCGACCUCUCAGACUAUGCGAUCUGGACUUCACUGAUCUAAAUGAAGAAGACGAAAAUGAUGUUUUAGCCCCUCGAGGUUUAGGAGGUGCAGUACCUCCUCCACCACCACCAAUUGGAAUUCCACCGCCAAUAUCAGGGAUGGGUCCACCCCCGUUUAAUGGAAAAAUCCCGCCACCGCAUUUCCCUCCACCACCAACCAAUUUAGUUCCUCCACCGAAUUUCGGUUAUGCCAGUUUGCAUCAGAAUAAGCAGAAUAACGAGAGCAACCAGACUAUUAAAAAGAAUAAAAAGACAGUAAAGCUUUUCUGGAAAGAAGUCAGAGAAGAUAUGAUUCCGCCAUCAAUAUCAAAGACUAUCUGGGACGAACUGCCAAAAACUGUGGUCGAUGUCCAGAAAUUGGAGCAUCUUUUUGAAUCACGAGCCAAAGACCUAAUGAUUAAGGAGAAACAACAAGAACUGAAUAAAAACAAGGAAAUUAUCGUCCUCGAUCAUAAGCGUUCUAAUGCCAUCAAUAUUGCUAUGACAAAGCUGCCACCGCCACGAGCUAUUAAAGCAGCAAUUUUGAAAAUGGACCAGACUGUUGUGACGCGUGAAGGAAUCGAUAAAUUACUAAAUAUGUUGCCAUCAGACGAGGAGCGAGCGAAAAUCCAGGAGGCGCAGAUGGCGAAUCCCGAGCUACCAUUGGGAAGUGCAGAGCAAUUUCUUUUGACGCUAUCUUCGAUCUCAGAAUUGUCAGCUCGGCUGAGACUGUGGGCCUUCAAAUUGGAUUUUGAAAAUACCGAGAAAGAAAUCGCUGAACCGCUCAAUGACUUGAAACAAGGACUAGAAUUGCUGAAAGCAAAUAAAACAUUUAAAUGCAUUCUGUCGACUUUAUUGUCGAUUGGAAUUUUCCUGAAUGGAACGCCAGUAAAAGGAUUUCAAAUUGAAUAUCUAGCAAAGGUACCUGAAGUAAAAGACACCGUGCACAAGCACUCGCUUCUUCAUCAUUUAUGCCACAUGGUGAUGGAAUCGUCACCAGAUACAACUGACCUUUAUUCAGAAAUCGGUCCAAUCACCAGGGCCUCAAAGGCAGACUUCACCGAGUUGGCUCACAAUAUUGCCUAUUUGGAGACUGAAUGCAAAGCAUCUUGGGACCGCCUUAAACUCAUCGCAAAACACGAUUGCCCAAUACAGCUGAAGCAGAAAUUGGUCGAUUUCUUGGCUGAUUGUGCCGAGAGGAUAAUAAUCUUACAAAUUGUACAUAAACGUGUAAUUAACAGAUAUCGUAAAUUCUUAUUGUGGCUUGGUGUAGCCCAGCAUAGAGUUGCUGAAUCAAAACCGAAUGAAUUCUGUCGUGUCUUAUCUGAGUUUGCCCUUGAAUACCGCACAACAAGGGAACGUGUCCAGCAGCAAAUUGAAAAGAAAGCUAACCACCGUGAGAGGAAUAAGACACGAGGCAAGAUGAUCGUUGAUGUUGGAAAAUUCAGAACUCAAGAAGACCGAGCUGAUGCUGAGUUGAAGCAAUUGCUGGGUUCAACAAAUUCACGAAACGACAAUUCUGAUGGAACUCUUACAUGGCGCCGACGUCGCGCUGAAGGACUGCGAUCACCAGUAAUCAAGCAAAAUGAGGAAAAUUUCACCGAUGGUGAUGAUGAGAUCAUAGAAUCGUUGGUGAAAACAGCCAUGAAAGGACCUGGUCCUCGCCCAACACCCCGCGAACGCAAACGAACGCGUCACGCUGAUCGCAAAUCAUGGCUUCGGUGACCUGUAGAAUAUAGAACAUCGUAUCUUGUCGAAAAUCAAAUCGAUCUUUCCAAUUUUUCAUCAAUAAGUAGAGCCAUUGUAUACGUCGGACUCUGAAAAACGGCCUGACCGAGGAAGAGAAGCAGCACGUAGCGUCACUAAUAAAAACCUACUAGGACAAUUCCCUUAGAACAUCUAGACCAUCACCCCCACUUAGUAUUUUCCUUAGGAAGAAAUCGAAUCAGAAAGCGAUCUCACCUUGAAAGAGAGUCGGAAGCCUCCAAAAUCGUAGCUAAUUCUCUAGUUUCAAAAGCCCUGGAAAUACUGUCCAAGUAGUUCAGCAAACAGGUAGAUUAGCGAGUUAGUUGGACUAACAAAUACUCUCGAAACGACGAAAAUACCGAACAUUUUCGAAAAAAAUGUGAUACAAAAUAAAAUCAUGAUCUUGAAAUCGAAGUCAAAUCAAAUGAUAUGAAUGUAUAUGUGUAUAUCAUGUGCCUUGUCAAAUGUAUAUUUCAUGCAAUUUUAUGUUAGAAUCAAACGCACGCCUCGAACUAGACUUCAGCUUUGUAAAUAAUCAAAUCAGCGGAAAACAGAUGAGAAAGCAUUUUGCCACGUAGCACUAUUCCCGUAGGAUCCUUUCUUGUAUACUACAUACUACGAAUACAUAUCGAAGAAAAGUAUCUAACUUGCACUCUUAGGACUUAGUUGUAUUGUAAAACUGUUGUUAACACUAUUUAUGAUGUUAAUUUUAUUAGAAUAUUUCACUUUCCAACUGUGUAGAUUUCUUGAGUGUUAUCUCCUUAUUUUGUACUUUUGUUACAUUUACUGAUUUUGCCGCCCCUUUAUUUGUAAUCAGCGUAUCUUCAAGAGAUAUAGGAACACAAACGAACUACAACAAAAAGUAACUUUCAUAUUAAUUUCUUUUCUAAAGUGACCGAUAGCGGAUUUAAGUAAAUUGUAUUUGUAGCGCAUAAUUAACUGAUAAUUCGAACCAGCACAUUAUCAAGACCUAAAAACUUACUGUACUUGUAACAAAUUGACUGUUCACAAUUAUUGGUGAAAUAAUCCAUCUUUACACUUAGAUUUAAUAUAAACAAAAUUGUUAUUUUAUCCUCAAUAAAUAUUGAAUGAAACCUUGAAA